rnacentral:tRNA from 1 species
GCGUAGGUGGUGUAAUGGUCAGCAUAGUUGCCUUCAAAGCAGUUGAUUCGGGUUCGAUUCCCGGUCGACGCA